rnacentral:rRNA from 1 species
GACGAACGCUGGUGGCGUGCUUAACACAUGCAAGUCGAACGGGAUUUAGUAAACAGAAGCCUCGGUGGAAGAUUACUAAUGAGAGUGGCAAACGGGGGAGUAACGCGUGUGCAACCUGCCUAAGACAGGGGGAUAGCCUCGGGAAACCGGGAUUAAUACCGAAUAAAAUGGUAGAAAGUAAAGUUUUAAUGGUCAAACACUUAUCGGUCAAUGAUGGGCUCGCGUCGUAUUAGGUAGGUGGUGAGAUAACAGCCCAACAAGGCGACGAUCAGCAGCCGGGGAGAGAGGAUGAACGGCGACAUUUGAACUGAGACACGGUCCAAACUCCUACGGGAGGCAGCAGUGGGGAAUAUUGCACAAUGGCGGAAACCCUGAAGCAGCGACGCCGCGUGAACGAAGAAGGUAUUCGUAUCGUAAAGUUCUGUCCUAUGGGAAGAUAAUGACAGUACCAAAGAAGAAAGCUCCGGCUAAAUACGUG